rnacentral:lncRNA from 1 species
CCCCUGCCCUUACAAACCAAAGCUAUCGGAAGCUCUUGCGGUCCCAUGCCAUCUUCCAAGGGCUCCCGGGUGCCACAUUCUUUCCAAUUCAUUUCUGGUAUCCCCAACAGUGUCUUCCUAGCAUCCAGGGUCCAGGAUCCCCACUCCAAGGUAGAAGCAUCCAUGGUAACUGUCUCAUAGCAUUGCUGCUAGGGCCAAAGACAACACCCCACAUCCCAGGCUCAAAUCAGGCCUGUGGAAGAGUGUCUGUCACCGCCGUGUUGACCUCUCACCUCAGUAUAGCCUAUGCCCCCUGCCAGUCCCAUGAAGACAUCAGAACUGUGUUUCCGUAAAUGGCUUUAUAUCCCCUUACCAUCUCUUCUUGUCAGACCCCCCCCCCCAGAGCUUUGAACCCCAGAGGGUGCUGGAUGCCCUUUAGC